AUAAUAAUUAGGUUUUUAAUUGAAAUCUAGAAUGAAUGAUUGGACGAGAUACAGGCUGUUUUAUAAUAAUUAAUUAAAAUUUAAUUUUUUAGUCAAAAAGCUAAAAUUUUAUUAAAAGACGAGAAGACCCUAUAAAUCUUUAUAAUUAAUUUAUUUUAGUAAAUUAUUUUAUUUAAAUUAAUAAUUAUAAUAUUAUAAUUAUUUUAUUGGGGUGAUACAAAAAUUUAAUUAACUUUUUUAUUGGAAUUUCUUAAAUUAAAGAUUUUUAAAAAUAUGAUCUAUUAUUAAUAAUUCAGAGAAUAAGAUACUUUAGGGAUAACAGCGUAAUUUUAAUUUUAAGUUCUUAUUAAAAUUAAAGAUUGC
rnacentral:rRNA from 1 species